rnacentral:rRNA from 1 species
AUUGAACGCUGGCGGCAUGCCUUACACAUGCAAGUCGAACGGUAACAGGUCUUCGGAUGCUGACGAGUGGCGAACGGGUGAGUAAUACAUCGGAACGUGCCUAGUAGUGGGGGAUAACUACUCGAAAGAGUGGCUGAUACCGCAUGAGAUCUACGGAUGAAAGCAGGGGAUCGCAAGACCUUGUGCUACUAGAGCGGCCGAUGGCGGAUUAGGUAGUUGGUGGGAUAAAAGCUUACCAAGCCGACGGUCUGUAGCUGGUCUGAGAGGACGAUCAGCCACACUGGGACUGAGACACGGCCCAGACUCCUACGGGAGGCAGCGGUGGGGAAUUUUGGACAAUGGGCGAAAGCCUGAUCCAGCAAUGCCGCGUGCAGGAUGAAGGCCUUCGGGUUGUAAACUGCUUUUGUACGGAACGAAAAGCCCCGGGUUAAUACCCUGGGGUCAUGACGGUACCGUAAGAAUAAGCACCGGCUAACUACGUGCCAGCCGCCGCCGUAA